UACGGAGGGUGCAAACGUUGCUCGGAAUUAUUGGGCGUAAAGCGCACGUAGGCGGACUUCAAGUCGGGUGUGAAAUCCCUCAGCUUAACUGAGGACGUGCAUCGAACUGUUAGUCUUGAGUAUGGAAGAGGUCGCGGAAUUCCCGGUGUAGUGGUGAAAUGCGUAGAUAUCGGAGGAACACCAGUGGCGAAGGCGACUUCCUGGCCUGUUCUUGACGCUGAGGCGCGAAAGCCUGAGGGGAGCAAACAGGGAU
rnacentral:rRNA from 1 species